rnacentral:misc_RNA from 1 species
AGUCGGUGGGGUUUACCCUUACCAAACUCAGACUACAACCCCUUUUCGUCAUCACCCUCAAUUCACUCACAACUUGCCGCAAUACAGUACACCACAUGAUACCCAGUUAAUGCAUCAGCAGAGAUCCAUGUCUUUCCCCACUCCACCGCUUCAACCACCACCACCUACUAGUAGUCCUCAUCAAUUCCCUAACCCUAAUCCUGGUGCUACGCUUAUGGCACUGUUGAGUCCUCAACCGUCUACUUCGGAAGUUCAGAUACAGUCCACUAUGCCUAUGCCUCCUAUACAACCUACCUCUUCGGGGUCUGAGCUUUCAGAUUUUUCCUCUGGACCGAAUGUUGGUGUUGCUCAUUCAGGUCCGGGACCAAUGAGAAUGCCGAGCAGUAAAUUACCUAAAGGGAGACAUUUGAAUGGUGAUCAUAUUGUUUAUGAUAUAGAUGUUAGGUUUCCUAGUGAGGUGCAGCCACAGCUGGAGGUUACUCCUAUUACUAAGUAUGGUUCGGAUCCUGGUCUUGUAUUAGGCCGGCAAAUUGCAGUUAACAAAACCUAUAUAUGUUACGGAUUGAAAUUGGGGGCUAUUCGGGUUCUUAACAUUAAUACUGCAUUGAGAUCAUUGCUUAAAGGUCUUGCACAGAGGGUCACGGACAUGGCUUUCUUUGCAGAGGAUGUUCAUCUCUUGGCUAGU